rnacentral:rRNA from 1 species
GACGAACGCUGGCGGCGUGCUUAACACAUGCAAGUCGAACGGAAAGGCCUGCUUUCCCUUGUGGAUUGCGGGUACUCGCGUGGCGAACGGGUGAGUAACACGUGAGUGAUCUGCCCCCAACUUGGGUAUAAGCCUGGGAAACUGGGUCUAAUUCCCGAUAGGACUGCAGGGUGGUGCCUGUGGUGGAAAACGAUUUUCUAGUGGUUGGGGAUGAGCUCGCGGCCUAUCAGCUUGUUGGUGGGGUAAUGGCCUACCAAGGCGGCGACGGGUAGCCGGCCUGGGAGGGUGGACGGCCACAUUGGGACUGAGAUACGGCCCAGACUCCUACGGGAGGCAGCAGUGGGGAAUAUUGCGCAAUGGGCGGAAGCCUGAGGCAGCGACGCCGCGUGGGGGAUGACGGCCUUCGGGUUGUAAACUCCUUUCGACCGCGAGGAAGCCACCUGGUUGGAAGGGUGGUGACGGUAGUGGUAGAAGAAGCACCGGCUAACUACGUG